rnacentral:rRNA from 1 species
AGAUGGCGACCGGCGCACGGGUGAGUAACACGUAUCCAACCUGCCGAUAACCCGGGGAUAGCCUUUCGAAAGAAAGAUUAAUACCCGAUGGCAUAAUUAGACCGCAUGGUCUUAUUAUUAAAGAAUUUCGGUUUAUCGAUGGGGAUGCGUUCCAUUAGGCAGUUGGUGAGGUAACGGCUCACCAAACCUUCGAUGGAUAGGGGUUCUGAGAGGAAGGUCCCCCACAUUGGAACUGAGACACGGUCCAA